AUACGUAGGUGCCAAGCGUUAUCCGGAUUUAUUGGGUUUAAAGGUAGCGUAGGCGGGAGCUUAAGUCAGCGGUUAAAUGGUGCGGCUCAACCGUGCCCUGCCGUUGAAACUGGGUUUCUUGAGAGUGCAAGAGGCGGAUGGAAUUCAUGGUGUAGCGGUGAAAUGCUUAGAUAUCAUGAAGAACUCCGAUUGCGAAGGCAGUCCGCUGGGGCACGUCUGACGCUGAUGCUCGAAGGUGCGGGAAUCAAACAGGAUUAGAUACCCUGGUAGUCCGCACGGUAAACGAUGAUUACCCGCUGUCGGCGGCAGACAGUCGGCGGCCAAGCGAAAGCGAUAAGUAAUCCACCUGGGGAGUACGCCGGCAACGGUGAAACUCAAAUGAAUUGACGGGG
rnacentral:rRNA from 1 species